CAAGUCGAGCGAGAAAGGGGCUUCGGCCCUGANUAAAGCGGCGGACGGGUGCGUAACACGUGGAUAAUCUGCCCAGAAGUGGGGAACAACAAUCCGAAAGGAUUGCUAAUGCCGCAUGUCACAACUUGGACCCCGGUCCGAGUUGGAAAAGAGGGCGCCCGCAAGGGGCUCUCGCUUCUGGAUGAGUCCGCGUCCCAUCAGCUAGUUGGCGGUGUAAUGGACCACCAAGGCAAUGACGGGUAGCUGGUCUGAGAGGAUGACCAGCCACACUGGGACUGAGACACGGCCCAGACUCCUACGGGAGGCAGCAGUGGGGAAUAUUGGGCAAUGGGCGAAAGCCUGACCCAGCCAUGCCGCGUGAGUGAUGAAGGCCUUCGGGUCGUAAAGCUCUGUGGGGAGGGACGAAAAAAACUGACCUAAUACGUCAGGGCUUGACGGUACCUCCUUAGCAAGCACCGGCUAACUCCGUGCCAGCAGCCGCGGUAAUACGGAGGGUGCAAACGUUGCUCGGAAUCAUUGGGCGUAAAGCGCAUGUAGGCGGUCGGCUAUGUCGGAUGUGAAAGCCUCGGGCUUAACCCGAGAAGUGCAUCCGAAACUGGCCGGCUUGAGUACGGAAGAGGGUCUCGGAAUUCCCGGUGUAGAGGUGAAAUUCGUAGAUAUCGGGAGGAACACCAGUGGCGAAGGCGGAGACCUGGGCCGAUACUGACGCUGAGAUGCGAAAGCGUGGGGAGCAAACAGGAUUAGAUACCCUGAUAGUCCACGCCGUAACGAUGAGCGCUAGGUGUUGGGGUAUU
rnacentral:rRNA from 1 species